UACAGAGGUCUCAAGCGUUGUUCGGAUUCAUUGGGCGUAAAGGGUGCGUAGGUGGCGCUGUAAGUCGGGUGUGAAAUUUCGGAGCUUAACUCCGAAGCUGCAUUCGAUACUGCGGUGCUUGAGGACUGGAGAGGAGACUGGAAUUUAUGGUGUAGCAGUGAAAUGCGUAGAGAUCAUAAGGAAGACCAGUGGCGAAGGCGGGUCUCUGGACAGUUCCUGACACUGAGGCACGAAGGCCAGGGGAGCAAACGGG
rnacentral:rRNA from 1 species